rnacentral:rRNA from 1 species
UAGGGAAUCUUCGGCAAUGGGGGCAACCCUGACCGAGCAACGCCGCGUGAGUGAAGAAGGUUUUCGGAUCGUAAAGCUCUGUUGUAAGUCAAGAACGAGUGUGAGAGUGGAAAGUUCACACUGUGACGGUAGCUUACCAGAAAGGGACGGCUAACUACGUGCCAGCAGCCGCGGUAAUACGUAGGUCCCGAGCGUUGUCCGGAUUUAUUGGGCGUAAAGCGAGCGCAGGCGGUUUGAUAAGUCUGAAGUUAAAGGCUGUGGCUCAACCAUAGUUCGCUUUGGAAACUGUCAAACUUGAGUGCAGAAGGGGAGAGUGGAAUUCCAUGUGUAGCGGUGAAAUGCGUAGAUAUAUGGAGGAACACCGGUGGCGAAAGCGGCUCUCUGGUCUGUAACUGACGCUGAGGCUCGAAAGCGUGGGGAGCGAACAGGAUUAGAUACCCUGGUAGUCCACGCCGUAAACGAUGAGUGCUAGGUGUUGGAUCCUUUCCGGGAUUCAGUGCCGCAGCUAACGCAUUAAGCACUCCGCCUGGGGAGUACGACCGCANAGGUUG